AGAGUUUGAUCCUGGCUCAGGAUGAACGCUAGCGGCAGGCCUAACACAUGCAAGUCGAGGGGCAGCACGGUGUAGCAAUACACUGGUGGCGACCGGCGCACGGGUGCGUAACGCGUAUGCAACCUACCCAUAACAGGGGGAUAACACUGAGAAAUUGGUACUAAUACCCCAUAACAUCAGGACCGGCAUCGGUUCUGGUUGAAAACUCCGGUGGUUAUGGAUGGGCAUGCGUUGUAUUAGCUGGUUGGUGAGGUAACGGCUCACCAAGGCAACGAUACAUAGGGGGACUGAGAGGUUAACCCCCCACAUUGGUACUGAGACACGGACCAAACUCCUACGGGAGGCAGCAGUGAGGAAUAUUGGUCAAUGGACGCAAGUCUGAACCAGCCAUGCCGCGUGCAGGAAGACGGCUCUAUGAGUUGUAAACUGCUUUUGUACGAGAGUAAACGCUCUUACGUGUAAGAGCCUGAAAGUAUCGUACGAAUAAGGAUCGGCUAACUCCGUGCCAGCAGCCGCGGUAAUACGGAGGAUCCAAGCGUUAUCCGGAUUUAUUGGGUUUAAAGGGUGCGUAGGCGGUUUGAUAAGUUAGAGGUGAAAUGCCGGUGCUUAACACCGGAACUGCCUCUAAUACUGUUGAACUAGAGAGUAGUUGCGGUAGGCGGAAUGUAUGGUGUAGCGGUGAAAUGCUUAGAGAUCAUACAGAACACCGAUUGCGAAGGCAGCUUACCAAACUAUAUCUGACGUUGAGGCACGAAAGCGUGGGGAGCAAACAGGAUUAGAUACCCUGGUAGUCCACGCAGUAAACGAUGAUAACUCGCUGUCGGCGAUACACGGUCGGCGGCUAAGCGAAAGCGAUAAGUUAUCCACCUGGGGAGUACGUUCGCAAGAAUGAAACUCAAAGGAAUUGACGGGGGCCCGCACAAGCGGAGGAACAUGUG
rnacentral:rRNA from 1 species